rnacentral:rRNA from 1 species
UACGGGGGGGGCAAGCGUUGUUCGGAAUUACUGGGCGUAAAGGGCUCGUAGGUGGCCAACUAAGUCAGACGUGAAAUCCCUCGGCUUAACCGGGGAACUGCGUCUGAUACUGGAUGGCUUGAGUUUGGGAGAGGGAUGCGGAAUUCCAGGUGUAGCGGUGAAAUGCGCAGAUAUCGGGAAGAACACCCGUGGCGAAGGCGGUUCUCUGGGACGGUACUGACGCUGAGACGCGAAAGCGUGGGGAGCGAACAGG